rnacentral:lncRNA from 1 species
UUUUUCAGAAAUUAAAACAGGAAGGUGGAAGGAUCUCAUGUUUACUAGAAGUGGUGCGGUCGGAUGAAAACAGCAAACAGAAAGUAGAAAAAUGGAGUUUUGACAUUGAGGUUGAAUAACUUUUUAUUCUUCGUGGCAAGGUGCCAUUUUUUUGGCAUGAAAUCAUAGUAUAACAUUACUAAAUGCAUGAUAUGUAGACUAAAUAUUUUUUCUAUGUAGCAUUUUUGAAUAAAAAA